AUUGAACGCUGGCGGCAGGCUUAACACAUGCAAGUCGAGCGAGCGGCGGACGGGUGAGUAAUGUCUGGGAAACUGCCUGAUGGAGGGGGAUAACUACUGGAAACGGUAGCUAAUACCGCAUACUAUCCGAUGUGCCCAGAUGGGAUUAGCGAGUAGGUGGGGGAAUGGCUCACCUAGGCGACGAUCCCUAGCGGGUCUGAGAGGAUGACCGGCCACACUGGGACUGAGACACGGUCCAGACGCCUACGGGAGGCAGCAGUGGGGAAUAGUGGACAAUGGGCGCAAGCCUGAUGCAGCCAUGCCGCGUGUGUGAAGAAGGCUUUCGGGUUGUAAAGCACUUUCGGCAGGGAAGCGUUACUCGCAGAAGAAGCACCGGCUAACUACGUGCCAGCAGCCGCGGUAAUUC
rnacentral:rRNA from 1 species